GAUGAACGCUAGCUACAGGCUUAACACAUGCAAGUCGCGGGGCAGCAUGGGGGUUGCUUGCAAUCCCCGAUGGCGACCGGCGCACGGGUGAGUAACGCGUAUCCAACCUGCCCUUCACCACGGGAUAACCCGGCGAAAGUCGGACUAAUACCGUAUGUUGUCCAUUGACGGCAUCCGAUUUGGACGAAAGGUUUGGCGGGGAAGGAUGGGGAUGCGUCCGAUUGGCUGGACGGCGGGGUGACGGCCCACCGUGGCGACGAUCGGUAGGGGUGCUGAGAGGAAGGUCCCCCACACUGGAACUGAGACACGGUCCAGACUCCUACGGGGGGCAGCAGUGAGGAAUAUUGGGCAAUGGGCGUAAGCCUGAACCAGCCAAGUAGCGUGCAGGAUGACGGCCCUAUGGGUUGUAAACUGCUUUUAUGCGGGGAUAAAGUGGCCCACGUGUGGGUUUUUGCAGGUACCGCAUGAAUAAGGACCGGCUAAUUCCGUG
rnacentral:rRNA from 1 species